rnacentral:rRNA from 1 species
CCUACGGGAGGCAGCAGUGGGGAAUAUUGCACAAUGGGCGCAAGCCUGAUGCAGCCGUGCCGCGUGUAUGAAGAAGGCCUUCGGGUUGUAAAGUGCUUUCAGCGGGGAGGAAGGGAGAGAGGUUAAUAACCUCGCUCAUUGACGUUACCCGCAGAAGAAGCACCGGCUAACUCCGUGCCAGCAGCCGCGGUAAU